AGCAACGAACACAGCCUUUCAGGUUUUUUUUUUCGUGCACUGCUUCUUUCUUUCUUCAGGGUACUUCACACUCACACGCAGCACUCGCUCACUGUCACUUGCCAUCCCUUCUGCCGCGUGUCUUUUCCACCACUCCUUCUGUCUUCCCUCUCUGAGGUGCGCAUAUACGGCCCUCACUGCGACUCACACCCAUACACACACACACACAAGCACACGCCUGCGCGUUCCUUUCCGAUCAUCGCCCUUUCCUCGGCUCUGACUGCUUCCUCGUCCGCUGCUGCACUCGUUUCUGCGCAUUUUUUCCUUCUACUUUGCUUCCAAUCACCAGCGCGCGUGUGUGCCUGCUUCUCGCGCGUCCUGCCAUCGGCGCAGCACCGAGCGACGUUGCUUGCCCAUCUCCUUGACUCCCCCCCCCUCCUCCCCGAACCGUGAUCUCCACACGUGCACCGCCACACAGACACACACACACACACACACGCAGAGACCUGCAAAACAUGUCGCACGCGUCGACCUUUGCCGCGGGCGAGCUGCCCAUCCGCGUCCUCACGUUCAAUCUCUGGGGCAUCUUCAAUUCGAGGAUGCGCGAGGCGCGCAUGAAGGUCUUCGCGACGAAGAUUGAGCACUACGAUGUCAUUUUGCUACAGGAGCAGUUCUCCGUCGAGGAUUUUGACCUCAUCUUCCAGCACGCCUCGCCGGCGGUGCAGCGGACGUACACCUUUCGUCGGUUCUGCAGCUCCUUCUACGGCUCCGGCUGCGCCGUCAUCUCACGCUACCCCAUCAGCCAGGCCUUUUUCCACACUUUCCCCCUCCAGGGCUACCCAGAGAUGGUCCUUCACGGCGACUUCUUUGCGAACAAGGGGGCGGCCAUGGUGCGGGUGAUGGUGCCGGUGACGAUGGAGGAUGGCAGCGCCGCCAACGCACAGGAGGUGACCCUCUACACCACUCACCUUGUCGCCGUAUACGAAAAGGUCAGCCAGCUGUCCUCGUGGAAGCGCGAGCGCUACCUUCCCUUCCGCAUCUCGCAGGCGAUCUCGUUCGCAGAUUUCAUCGUAAGCACCUCGCGUCCUACCGACCGCAUCAUCAUUGGCGGCGACUUCAACUGCUCUCAGCGAUCGCUCGAGGUGCAGAUGAUGCUGAUCCUGCUCAAGCGGUACGGGUACGACAUGCACUCCGUCUUACCUCCGCCGCGGGCGCUGCGGGAUGCAGCGACGGCGGAGCAGGAGCGCGAGGGCGGUCAGCGGUUCUUCACGUAUUCGGACAGCAACACCUUCAACUCGAUGAAGACGUCGUACUUCAAGCUGCUCAAGCUGGAGGCGGACAUCCCCUCGCAGAUCGAUCACAUUUUCUUCUCUCGUCCAGCCUUCGCGCUGCGCCAGUUUGCCGACUGCCCGGACGUCGCCGAUGGCUACCCGUGCGCCUUGCAAGACGCGCCGAACGGGCUCGUCGUCUUUACCAAAAAUGAGGUUCACGUCCCGCCGCACUCGGCGUGGUGCCGGUCCCUGUGGCACCAGCUGCUCACCGGCAAGCGCGUGCCACGCGGCGCCAAUGCGACCGGGCAGCUAGCGCAGCCGGGGCGCAAGACGGCGUCAUCAACGGAAGGACAGAGCGCGGACGACGCAGCCCACUACUACCCCAUGUCGGACCACUUUGGCGUGGCAGCGCUGCUCGGCAUGCGUGUGGAAAAGGCGGGCUCAACGACGGCCAUGAUUUGCUCUAGCCCUGAGACGGGCGGCACGGCCGCGUUGGCACUCACCCCUGACGAGGCGCGGGCUGUCCAGACGGUGGUGGACUUCUUGGAGGACUACGUGUGCAAGCUCCGCUCACAGGCCAAGACAACACGCUACAUGGCGGUGUUUUCGCUGCUGUUGGUGGCGGCGAACAUCUGGGUCCUUCGGCGACUGAGCGCGAAGGAGGAGGCUCGCUCAGCGGCGGUACUGGAGCGCAUAUACGACAUGGCAGCCGCCACUACCCGCGAUACGGCAAAGGUGGUGCAGCCGGGCAACGGGCUCGAGUCCAUAAAGCAUGGCUUUAACGUGGCGAAGGACUGGGCGAGUAACCAGGCGCACCUGACGCUGCACAUCGUGAGCAAAUUCACGGGCGCAACCCCCGCGCCCGGUAUCAACGCCGGCGACACACCAGAGGGGUCCAAGCAGCCUGCCGCUAACGUGGCCGAUCCGUCAGAACCGGUGCCCAGGACCGUCCCCGCGUCCACCGCAGCUACUACGGCCAAGAGGGCCACAUCCACACCGGAGGGCGAUGCUGCUGCGCGUCCGGACUUCCGUGCCAUCGCGGAGGCGCUGACGGUGCGUCCAUUGUAUGCCUCCGCGUGGGUCUCCUCCGCGUUCAACAUGACCGCCGCCGUUGUUGGCACCGUGUCCUUCGCGAUUGGUGUGUUUCAGCGCGCCGGUAACGCCAAUAUCCUCGAAGAACAAGUGCAUCAGCUGAAGAAGUUGUAGUGUGCACUCUGCGUGCGCUUCCUGGCCAAGUCGGACAACUGGCGGCUGGUCUUUGCUAGCGUCUCUUCCUCAGUGAGACAGCGGCGAGCACAUGUUCGUUGGCCUCCCUUUGAGUGCUGCCCGUCGCACGUGUGCGUCGCGGAUGGCUGCCGCCGCCUUGCCUGCAUAUGGACCUCACGCUUUUUUUUUUCACUGUCCGGUCUUGUAUCCGCGUGCUUACGUGCCGGCAUGCUCUCUUGUGUCUCUGCCAUGCUGGCCGGCGCUGCUACCGUCGCGGUGGAUGGGCAGCCACUGGUCGAUGUCGUGCGCCGCGCGUGCGCUGAUCAACUGUGCUUCCUGUACGUGCGUGGACGUGGGCGCUUUCCGCCCCGUCCGCCUUCGCCCUUUUGCUUGUGCUUUUCGGUUCCAUGCUUCGCCCUCUCUCUGUGUGUGUCGGGAGGGAGGAGGGUGGAGGAGGCGGUAUUGCUGUACUGGCUCUUCCCCACGGCCGCCUCGCAGGACGCGAUGGGGCUCGUGAGGUGGUCGGGGUCGAGUAGACCCCCUAACGCUUGCGCUUGGGCAGAGAGCGGGCACGCUGAUGUAGGAAAACGUUUUUAAGGGCCACUCGUUGCUGCUGGUGCGGUUCUCUUUGCAUCUUGCUUGUUCGCCUCACGAUCCCCUCUCUGUCGUUCGUGCGUGCAUGACACCGACCUCUUCUUCACCUCGCCCCACCUCUCUUCGCCACGUGGGCUUGUCGGCCUGCCUGCCGGUGUGUGUUGACACAGUGUCGCAGACUCCGCUGGUGCCGUUCGUUUUGGCUUCCGGCCGGAGAAGGGUGUCUUCCCGGGAUGCUGCGCGAGCGUUCAUCGCUGUGAGAGGAGCACCGUGGUGACUGCAGCCAUGGAGUCGCUGCAGUUGAGGUAAAGCGGCGAAGCAGGUGCGUGCGCGUGUGUGGGCCACGAGACACUGAGGAGCACACAGAGAAGGGGAGGGCCCUGGAAAGGGCAAUGGCAAGGAAAUAGUGACGCGAGAGACGAGAGGCGCGACAGCACGGCGAUGGGAAGCGCUCGGCAGCCACGGAAGCCACUACCCACUACCACCAUCCACCCCUCCCGUC
rnacentral:misc_RNA from 1 species